UCUAGUACAUUCAAAUCUGCAUUAGAGGGAUGGUUUAUGUCUAGUGUUAAUGGUACAUGUAGUGAGAUACACCACACAAGACUGGCUACCAAGGAGAAAACCUAGCAAGGAGUUCCUAUGCUGUUUCAUAGCUUCCAUCUCUGUGAAGGGGAAUAAGCUGACUGCAAAAUUGCUUUUGUCUGACAACUGAGAGCAUCAAUGGCUGCCCAAAGAAUGUCUGAAAACCCUUAUUAUCUUGCAGACAUUAGACUAGUGCUUCUGGGUACUGAAGGUGAGGGGAAGAGGUCAGUUGGAAACACCAUCCUGGGUAGAGAGGAGUUUAGUGGUCAGAAAACUGGCGAAUGUAUGACAAAAGGUCGAGAAGUGGUAGGGAGGCAGGUCACUGUUAUUAACACACCAGGCUGGGGUAGAGAGCAGCGUCUCGCUCAAACUCCUGUAAGUGUUCAAGAGCAGCAUCUGCAGUGUGUGUUUCCUCCAGGAGUCCAUGCUCUGCUGUUGGUGAUACGCGCAGACAAGAAAUUCACAGAGGCCCACAGGGCAGCACUGCAAGAUCAUGUAGAGCUUCUUGGUGAGAAUGUGUGGAAUCACACCAUGGUGCUGUUUACCUGUGGGG